rnacentral:misc_RNA from 1 species
AUCAAUAGAAACGAAUUAAGUUCAAACAGCAGGUAAUUGCUAUAAAUUGUUGAAGAGUUUCCUCGACUAUCUUUCUUCUCCAUCAUCAGAUCGACUCCAGACCUUUAUUAAAUAGUAGUGCUAUAUAGUACUUAAUGAAAACAUGAUUAAAUUUACUAGUCACCCUUACGAUUUUUGAAAGUUUCCCUCGAUUUCUCUGGGAUCCCGUCAUCAGAUCCUGGUUUCCUUAUCAUGGUACUAAACUAUGAAUAUCUCCUUUCCAACAAAAAAAAAUUAUCAAAAUCGGUUCAUAAACGAAGAAGUUAUCUCCGAACAUACA